CAGUCGCCGCGGUAAUACGAAGGGGGCUAGCGUUGUUCGGAAUAACUGGGCGUAAAGGGCGCGUAGGCGGAUCUUUAAGUCAGGGGUGAAAUCCCAAGGCUCAACCUUGGAACUGCCUUUGAUACUGGAGAUCUUGAGUCCGGGAGAGGUGAGUGGAACUGCGAGUGUAGAGGUGAAAUUCGUAGAUAUUCGCAAGAACACCAGUGGCGAAGGCGGCUCACUGGCCCGGUACUGACGCUGAGGCGCGAAAGCGUGGGGAGCAAACAGGAUUAGAUACCCCUGUAGUCCCUGUCUCUUAUAC
rnacentral:rRNA from 1 species